CACAGUUUUUUUUUUCCUGUUCAGUGCUUCAGAGAGAGGUGGAGUUGGAUGUGCUGUGCAUGCGUCACCAUCCUGACAAGGGGUGCCUCCAUUGAUCUUGAACAGGACUCAAGCAUGUUGUGAGUCAACUGAACAGUUUAUUGAUCAUGAAGAGUUUUGUGACAUUUGCUAGAAAAGUUUAAAGGUAUUGAUAAUAAACGUAAAGUUUUGUCUGCCAGUGCUGUACAGGAAACCAAACCCUCUCCGUGUGUGACCGAUUAGCGGAGAGAACUUCUGAUCCAGUAUUGGACAAGUUGUUGCUCACACAAUGCUGGACCUCUAACGGGUAUGUGCUUGUCUUCAGCAGUCAUAUUAUUUCUUUGUGUUCAUCUGAUGUGACAACCUUCUCUCCUCUCUGUACAUCACAGAAGUCGACAUGAGCUGAAGAACUAGAAAAGUCCUGCAGAUCUUGUGACUGUGGCUUCUUAGAACCAAGCACCGAGUCUACAGCAGAGAAGGGUUCUGACCUGGGGAGCAACAGCUCUGAACUUCACCAAGUAUGUUUCAUCUUCAAAAUCUUUGACUUUUCCACACUACAACCAGCUGUGUAGGAUUUCAGUUUGUCGUCUGUAACACCGGUGUAAACUGUUGUCUUUUCCUCUCAACUCAUCACAGAACCAGCUCGACAUGAGCCACAGAGCCAAACCCAGCAACCAUGUGACCCUGGAGCCAUGUGAUCUCUGCUGAGCUUAGAACUCUAAAAUACUGCAUGCUCAGCCGUCCUGGUAGGGGAUCCCUCUAAGACCUGGCCUACCCAAAGGUUUCUUCCUCUUAUCCUGAGAAAGCUUUUUUGGGGGAGUUUUUCCUGACAUGCUUGGAGGGUCGAAAGGCUGACGGUGCCAUAUACCCAGGAU
rnacentral:lncRNA from 1 species